UGAGGAAUAUUGGACAAUGGGCGCAAGCCUGAUCCAGCCAUGCCGCGUGCAGGAAGACGGUCCUAUGGAUUGUAAACUGCUUUUAUACAGGAAGAAACACCUCUACGUGUAGAGACUUGACGGUACUGUAUGAAUAAGCAUCGGCUAACUCCGUGCCAGCAGCCGCGGUAAUACGGAGGAUGCAAGCGUUAUCCGGAAUCAUUGGGUUUAAAGGGUCCGUAGGCGGUUUAAUAAGUCAGUGGUGAAAGCCCAUCGCUCAACGAUGGAACGGCCAUUGAUACUGUUAAACUUGAAUUAUUAGGAAGUAACUAGAAUAUGUAGUGUAGCGGUGAAAUGCUUAGAGAUUACAUGUAAUACCAAUUGCGAAGGCAGGUUACUACUAAUAUAUUGACGCUGAUGGACGAAAGCGUGGGGAGCGAACA
rnacentral:rRNA from 1 species